GCACAGACACAGUGCUGCCUGCCCCUUUGUGCCAUGGGAUCCAGGCUGCUCUGUUGGGUGCUGCUUUGUCUCCUGGGAGCAGGCCCAGUAGAGGCUGGAGUCACUCAGACUCCAAAAUAUCUGAUCAAAACGAGAGGACAGCAAGUGACACUGAGCUGCUCCCCUAUCUCUGGGCAUCAGAGUGUAUUCUGGUACCAACAGACCCCAGGACAGGGCCUUCAGUUCCUCUUCGAAUACUUCAGUGAGACACAGAGAGAAAAAGGAAACUUCCCUGAUCGAUUCUCAGGGCGCCAGUUCUCUAACUCUCGCUCUGAGAUGAAUGUGAGCACCUUGGAGCUGGGGGACUCGGCCCUUUAUCUUUGUGCCAGCAGCUUGGCACAGCCCUACAAAGCCAACCACAUUCUGUGCACAAACCUCCCUGGCCCAGUGUGGGGCAACCUCAGCCCUGACAUAUCUUUGAGGGGCUGUGCGGGACAGGAAUGCUGCAUGGAGCUGCUGAGCCUGAGUCUUUCAAUGGGUGAACAAGGCAGGAGUGGCCUGCAGAGAGAGUACCUGGAAAAGGACUGUACCCCAAGGAACUGGGUGACACUUUCCUACCCCCACUCAGGGAGUGACCCUGAGGAGGGAGCUGCCAGCCAGGGGGGCUAA